rnacentral:rRNA from 1 species
GACGAACGCUGGCGGCGUGCUUAACACAUGCAAGUCGAACGGAAAGGCCCUGCUUUUGUGGGGUGCUCGAGUGGCGAACGGGUGAGUAACACGUGAGUAACCUGCCCUUGACUUUGGGAUCACUUCAGGAAACUGGGGCUAAUACCGGAUAGGAGCUCCUGCUGCAUGGUGGGGGUUGGAAAGUUUCGGCGGUUGGGGAUGGACUCGCGGCUUAUCAGCUUGUUGGUGGGGUAGUGGCUUACCAAGGCUUUGACGGGUAGCCGGCCUGAGAGGGUGACCGGCCACAUUGGGACUGAGAUACGGCCCAGACUCUUACGGGAGGCAGCAGUGGGGAAUAUUGCACAAUGGGCGGAAGCCUGAUGCAGCAACGCCGCGUGCGGGAUGACGGCCUUCGGGUUGUAAACCGCUUUCGCCUGUGACGAAGCGUGAGUGACGGUAAUGGGUAAAGAAGCACCGGCUAACUACGUG